AUUCAUUAAUCCCGCAUCUUUUCAGUUUUCUGCAGAGUUGUGCCUCGUUGUUUAAAAAAUCCCACAAAUUUAAUUUUUGGCCCCCAGCCGUAGUAUCCUCAAAAUACUGCCUUCCUCUAUCUUCUUCUUUUCGUGUUCUCUUCGCAUCUUCUCUCUUUGGUGAUUGUUCAUCUUCCUCAUCUGCUGCUUGUGCAUUGUCUACCGUUUGCAAACUCACCUAUCCAACUUUGAGGAUUCUGGUCCUAAUGGUAACGGCAGGUAUUCAGAUCACAUGUUACUUCAAGUCGAGAUAAAGAACUACAGAAAGUGUGCACACUGCACAGGUUCUACACUUGAGUCCGAGUUCAGAGGAUUACUUCCCCGCCGAUCAAAAGGUUCUCAAAUACUUGUGGAAAAGUUCAUACCCAACUUAUAGCGUGGAAGAGUAUCAUUGCCAGAACAUUUGGUACCUGAUGAGCGGAUAAUUUAUAUGCUUUUUGGCAUUGUUUUUAGGUAUUUUCUGGCUGAAAUUGAGGGACCUAAGCAAAAAUCUGAUUCAUAGGCUAAGAAAGGACUGCAGAUGUUGUUGGAUUCUGACCUCCCUGCACUUGAAGUGGAUUUUCUGGAGCUACAGAAGCCUAAUUGGCGCGAUCUCAAUUGAGUUGGAAAGUAGACAUCUUGGGCUUUCCAGAAAUGUAUAAUAGUCGAUACUUUGCUCGAGAUUUGAUCGCUUAAACUGGCGUCCAAACACCCACCAGAGACCCGUUUCUGGUGUAAAAUGUCGGAACUGGCACUAGAACUGGAGUUAAACGUCCAAACUGGCAUCCAAGAUGGCGUUUAACUCCAAUGAUGGCCUAUGCACGUGAAAGCAUCAAAGCUCAGCCCAAACACACACCAAGUGGGUCCCGACAGUAGAUUUCUGCACUAUCUGCACUUAGUUACUCAUUUUUCUGUAAACCCUAGUAACUAGUUUAGUAUAUAUAGCACUUAUUACUAUUGUAUUGGAGGUAUUUGAACCCUUUUAUUGUUUAUCAUGCCAUUAGGGAGGCUGGCCAUUCGGCCAUACCUAGACCAUUUGUUCUUAUGUAUUUUUCAACGGUGGAGUUUCUACACCUCAUAGAUUAAGGUGAGGAGCUCUGCUGUUCCUCAUGAAUUAAUGCAAGUACUAUUGUUUUUCUUUCAA